rnacentral:lncRNA from 1 species
AUGCUGUUGCAUAUGUUUUUAGUGCAUUGCUAUGCUGUUGCAUAUGUUUGUAUCGCGUUGCUGUGGUGUUGCUAUGUUUGUAGCACGUUGCUGUGGUGUUGCUAUGUUUGUAGCACGUUGCUGUGGUGUUGCUAUGUUUGUAGCACGUUGCUGUGGUGUUGCAUAUGUUUGUAGCGCGUUGCUAUGAUGUUGCAUAUGUUUGUAGCGCAUUGUUGUGCUGUUGCAUAUGUUUGUAUCGCGUUGCUGUGCUGUUGCAUAUGUUUGUAGGUAGCGCGUUGUUGUGCUGUCAUAU